UGCCUGUCCUGGGAAUUAGUCUGUGAG
rnacentral:piRNA from 1 species